rnacentral:rRNA from 1 species
AGUGAACGCUGGCGGUAGGCCUAACACAUGCAAGUCGAACGGCAGCACAGUAAGAGCUUGCUCUUACGGGUGGCGAGUGGCGGACGGGUGAGGAAUACAUCGGAAUCUACUUUUUCGUGGGGGAUAACGUAGGGAAACUUACGCUAAUACCGCAUACGACCUACGGGUGAAAGCAGGGGAUCUUCGGACCUUGCGCGAUUGAAUGAGCCGAUGUCGGAUUAGCUAGUUGGCGGGGUAAAGGCCCACCAAGGCGACGAUCCGUAGCUGGUCUGAGAGGAUGAUCAGCCUCACUGGAACUGAGACACGGUCCAGACUCCUACGGGAGGCAGCAGUGGGGAAUAUUGGACAAUGGGCGCAAGCCUGAUCCAGCCAUACCGCGUGGGUGAAGAAGGCCUUCGGGUUGUAAAGCCCUUUUGUUGGGAAAGAAAAGCAGCAGGUUAAUACCCCGCUGUUCUGACGGUACCCAAAGAAUAAGCGCCGGCUAACCUCGUG